rnacentral:rRNA from 1 species
GGAAGUAAAAGUCGUAACAAGGUUUCCGUAGGUGAACCUGCGGAAGGAUCAUUAUUGAAUUAAUGUAGAGUUUGGUUGUAGCUGGCUCCUAAUUAAACUUGGGGGCAUGUGCACACCUUUCUCUUUCAUCCCAUACACACCUGUGCACCUGUGAGACAGAUGUUUUGCGGGGGGGAAGGAACUUUAUUGGACCUUCUACUCCCCCUUGACUUCUGUCUACUUAAUUCAUAUAAACUCAAUUUAUUUUAAAACGGAUGUAAUGGAUGUAACACAUCUAAUACUAAGUUUCAACAACGGAUCUCUUGGCUCUCGCAUCGAUGAAGAACGCAGCGAAAUGCGAUAAGUAAUGUGUAUUGCAGAAUUCAGUGAAUCAUCGAAUCUUUGAACGCACCUUGCGCUCCUUGGUAUUCCUUGGAGCAUGCCUGUUUGAGUAUCAUGAAAUCUUCAAAGUCAAACCUUUUGUUAAUUCAAUUGGUUCUGCUUUGGUAUUGGAGGAUUAUUGCAGCUUCACACCUGCUCCUCUUUGUGCAUUAGCUGGAUCUCAGUGUUAUGCUUGGUUCCACUCAGCGUGAUAAGUUAUCUAUCGCUGAGGACACCCUGUUAAAAAGGGGUGGCCAAGGUAAAUGCAGAUGAACCGCUUCUAAUAGUCCAUUGACUUGGACAAUAUCUAAUUUAUGAUCUGAUCUCAAAUCAGGUAGGACUACCCGCUGAACUUAAGCAUAUCAAUAAGCGGAGGAA